rnacentral:tRNA from 1 species
UGGCAUGUAGCUCAGAAGGCAGAGCAGAGGACUGUUAAUCCUCGUGUCGCAGGUUCGAACCCUGCCAUGCCAG